GACGAACGCUGGCGGCGUGCCUAAUACAUGCAAGUAGAACGCUGAAGGAGGAGCUUGCUUCUCUGGAUGAGUUGCGAACGGGUGAGUAACGCGUAGGUAACCUGCCUGGUAGCGGGGGAUAACUAUUGGAAACGAUAGCUAAUACCGCAUAAGAGUAGAUGUUGCAUGACAUUUGCUUAAAAGGUGCAAUUGCAUCACUACCAGAUGGACCUGCGUUGUAUUAGCUAGUUGGUGGGGUAACGGCUCACCAAGGCGACGAUACAUAGCCGACCUGAGAGGGUGAUCGGCCACACUGGGACUGAGACACGGCCCAGACUCCUACGGGAGGCAGCAGUAGGGAAUCUUCGGCAAUGGACGGAAGUCUGACCGAGCAACGCCGUGUGAGUGAAGAAGGUUGUCGGAUCGUAAAGCUCUGUUGUAAGAGAAGAACGAGUGUGAGAGUGGAAAGUUCACACUGUGACGGUAUCUUACCAGAAAGGGACGGCUAACUACGUG
rnacentral:rRNA from 1 species